AUAUACACAUCAAGAACCGAGAUUCUAAAAUGGAGACAACAUGAAAGGUUAUCUACAAAUUGUAGUUUUUGAGAUACUUAUUGUGUAUUGUUUGUGACUCUUGUUGUAAAUCAAUCUUCUGCAUUUUAGUACAUAAGUCCUACAAUAUAUAGCCAGGUAGGUGUUACAUAAGCAAAUGCCAGCAAGUGUAGACAUAGGUGUUACAACAGAUAAUUGUAUCUACUCAUCAACAUAAUAUGAGAUAACAAAUGGUAGAAACGAUGCUUAGGAAGCAUCAAUAGUAGGAGGUCCUUGUCUUUGUAAAUCAAAGAACAUCUACAAUAAUGUAUAACUGACCAUUAAUGAGAUCUCUGUACUUGCUCUGUCAAAGUGCAAUAAGGGAUAUGUUCUGGGGCAAAGCUAAUGCAAAUAGUAGCGGCCAAUACUUGGAAGGAAGGGAUGAUAGUGCCCUCAUACUUAGUCAUGUAAAUGAUAAUAUGUAAGCUAUUAAAAAAUAUUGGAAUGAGCUAAUGAAUCUGGGACUAUGCAAGCUAUACAAAAUUCAAAUGGCAUACUGAGAUUGGACACAAAACAGUACAAUUGUGCCUGUAGAGGAUAAGUAGAGAAGAUGGCAUUUCACAACUGAGAGAUCCAAUUUAUAUUGCAAUUAAAAGAAGAAAGAAGAAGGUGCCUGCAAGAUACGAUGAUCUAAGUGAGAGCAACAUAUCAAUCACUUGCUACUUGAGCAGGAAGCAUUAAUAAAAUCAGCAAGGGCGCCUUCAAAAUUUUUUAAAGUCAAGUGGAAAUAGGUUAUAGGACCACCUUCACUAUCAAAUCCUUAAUAGAGAAAACUAAUUUGCACUCCUAGUUCCAAUCCACAAAGCUUGUGUGGAGACAUUUGGUAAGAACCUCCCUACAAAGCAACAUGAGUACUAUAUUAGAUAGCACAAUUUGAUAGCAAUCCAAAAGAACAACCAAUUGCCAUGCAUCAUUGGGAUAACAAAUAAUACAAACAAUCAUUCAUUUAUGUGCCUGGCCACAAAACAAUCAGCAAACCAUGUAGGAUAACCUCACAGUUAGUACGAUAGUAGAGAAGGAUUAUGAAUGGAGCCAUGGAGGAACCAGAAACAACCUGACAUGAAUCGGAUGGCGUGAGCGUGGGAGGCACAUAAGGAACUCCAAAUUUCGCCCAAUACUUAAUAACUUGUAGGAACUCCAAAUUUCGCCAAUACUAUAACUUGUAUGAGAGGAAACAUACAUGCAGGAAGCGAAAUUAACAGCCCCUCGAGGUAAAUUUUAGAUAUUUAAUUAGGGAUUAAGGUAAACGAUUAGUUACCGGCUCGUAGGCGAGGUCAACGGCGCCAUCGAAGGAAAGGUCUUCCCGGACGACACCAAGAUACGUGUCGGUGGAUGAUGAAUUACUGCCCAACUCCAUGGGGCGGAUGGAGUACAACUGGGCCCCAAGACAGCCAGAUUCUGGCCUGAGCGGUGGAUCGGCGACGACUGCACGUUCUGCAACACGGCGUCGUUCAAGUUAACGGCGUUCCAGACGGGGCCGCGGCUGUUCCCAGGCAAGGGCUCAACGUACCUGCAGAUGAAGAUGGUGCUGCCAUCCUGUGCAGGUUCUUCAGGUUUGGGCUUGUGGAGGGCCACUUCGUCAAGUAACCAUGUUGACCAUCCUCUCCAUGGCGCAGGGCCUCAAGGUCCGCAUCUCCAGGUUGUGUUUGUUUGGUGGAAGGAUGGAGAUAAUCUGCCGUAGAAGAUAAAGAGAUCCAUGAAAAAUCAAUUGGCAGGAGAGUUUAUUGGGGAGAUGAUGACCUACCGUGGAAGAUAAAGAGAGCCACGGCAAAUCAAUUAGUGGGAGAGUAAAUUAGGGAGAGAUAGGGACACCGAAAC
rnacentral:lncRNA from 1 species